UUAAUUAAUUAUUAUCAGCGCGGCCUAUCAGCUUGUUGGUGAGGUAACGGCUCACCAAGGCAUUGACGGGUAGCUGGUCUGAGAGGACGAUCAGCCACACUGGGACUGAGACACGGCCCAGACUCCUACGGGAGGCAGCAGUGGGGAAUAUUGCGCAAUGGGCGAAAGCCUGACGCAGCAACGCCGCGUGCGAGAGGAAGGCCUUAGGGUUGUAAAUCGCUUUCGGCAGGGAAGAAACUGACGGUACCUUCAGAAGAAGGUGCGGCCAACUACGUGCCAGCAGCCGCGGUGACACGUAGGCACCAAGCGUUGUCCGGAUUUAUUGGGCGUAAAGAGCUCGUAGGCGGUUCAGUAAGUCGGGUGUGAAAACUCUGGGCUCAACCCAGAGACGCCACCCGAUACUGCUGUGACUAGAGUACGGUAGGGGAGCGGGGAAUUCCUGGUGUAGCGGUGAAAUGCGCAGAUAUCAGGAGGAACACCGGUGGCGAAGGCGCCGCUCUGGGCCGAAACUGACGCUGAGGAGCGAAAGCGUGGGUAGCAAACAGGAUUAGAUACCCUGGUAGUCCACGCCGUAAACGUUGGGCACUAGGUGUGGGUCUCAACCAACGAGAUCCGCGCCGUCGCUAACGCAUUAAGUGCCCCGCCUGGGGAGUACG
rnacentral:rRNA from 1 species